AAUACCGGGAAGGAGCUUUACGUUCUGAACCUGGGUUUUCCACCUGCAGCUUCAUCCACACGGUGCUUGUCAUGACGUGAGCAGAUUAUCAUGCAAUUGUACGUAUGUGACGUUACUAUGUUUGCAAAGUUAGCUCGUUUUUGGUGCACGCACACUCCCUGGUUGUUGAAUGUUCAUAGCCAGGUGCAGUACUGUCGCUCAUACAGCUCAGAAAUCACCUCGAGACCACGUGGUGAUUCACACGUGGUUUGUGUGCCACACUUCCGAGUGCUCGCAGAAGCUUCAGCGUUCUUUCUUUGUUCCGUUGAUGCCUGAUCUACGUCCAGCGUAGCCGCUCAACUCCCAUCCGCACAACAGCAACUCACACUGUAUACAUAUUACAGAUGCACCCAUCUAGGAUCAGCCACUAAAGGUCUUGUAAGGGAUUGCUCAUAUUCAGCUGCAGCAGGUUUCCGAAUAACGGGAGAGGCAGUGGUCCAGGGGGGAAGUGUUUGGGCCUCCGGGUUCUAAAGAGGAAGAAGAGGAGGUAGAAGCCAAUCCACAGGAGAAUCAGUGAGCCCAGCAUGACAGGAGAUGAUGGCUCUUCUUUCAAUGAAAAACAGCUGCUCGGUUAUCUGAAUGACCUCCUCGCUGCUGGAACAGACACCACUUGCCAACACACUCCUCACAGCCUUUCUGUACCUCAUGACUCACCCAGAUGUUCAGGGUGAGUUCUCAGUUGUGUUCCUAUGGUUACCUGUGCAUGAGGCUGAAAUGCGCACAGCUGCAGCAGCCUUUAAGGUGGAGAACUGUGUCGCCCAGCUCAGUGACGUGUGCCGAUCUCUACCCGUGGUCUCCAGAGAGGUGUCAGAAGGAGCUUGACGGGGUGCUCGGGGAGAAG